CAUUUGCGUGAGCCGUGAGCCUCAAAACAUAACCCUUUUCUCAUUUUUUUUUUCGUUUCCCAGUUCCCACCUAUUUUCUCUCUCUAAAAAAAUUUAGAUCUACAAUCUUCUGCUCCAUCUUCCUGUGGAAAUCUAAUACUGUUUACUGAGCAUUUGAUUUUUGAAGUUCUCCUUAGUUUAUAAUUUAUAUUGGUAUGGCGGGAACUCCAGGAAAUGCUGAUUCCCCAGUUAAUUUAGUGGAUGAUGAUUAACUUCCUUGCAAUGAUCAAGGCUCUCCAGUUAAUUCUCAAGUCUUAUUUCAACGGUCCCUUCGGAAUCAACAUUUAGCAUGGGAAAGAAAUUAAUAAAUCCUUGGAGGCCUCUCUCAAUGAGAAAACAAUUGAGGUGCUUGCAUGUUAUGAAGAUUGGUCGCGUGCAAAAGGUUUUGCAUUGGGUGAGUAAGCUAUCUAAAAUUAAUCAUUCAUUCAAUAUAUGUUCAAUUUAAACCUAAAAACUUAUUUUCUUUUUGUAACAUUUUAUUUCUUUGUAUAAAACAAGUUCAUCAAGCAUUUUUUUGCCAAGAUAAUUAUACUUUUGGUGAAGAGGAGCAAGAAGAGGAAGAUGAAGUUGUAACAACUAAUGAAGAUUCUACUGAAUGAAAAUGAUUAAUUAAGCAAGUGCAUUUCCCUUUUUCUUUAUUUCUUUCUCUUCUACACAGGCUCAUAAAAUCACUUAUGUCUUUUGCCUUUUAUUUUUUGUUGUUGUUUAGGUUGGACAUUCAUGAAGUUAGUUCUUGUUGAAGGCUGCUGCGUUGUUGUUGCUCCUUAUUUUAAAUUAUUGUUGAUGUUGUUGUAACUUUGUAAUAGGAUUGUUAGUAAAUAUUAACUUGUAUGUGGAACAUCAUUUUAUUAAAAUCCCAGUGCUGUUUUUUUUUUUUUUGCAUUUAAUUAUUAGUAUAUUAUAUAAAUAGAUUCUAAACGUGCCCGUAUGCCGGUGGGCAUGCCCGGCUCGUUUUUAGGGCAGGUAAGGACAAAAAGUCAAGCCCGCAAAAAAUGGCUUGGUUAUGCAUCACUAGGCCCGUUGGACAAAUUUUUUAGGAUCACCCCGUCCCAGGCCCGCAAAUGAUCACCUCUAUUAUAAAUGUAAUCCAUGAUCAAUGCUUCCCUAAAUAUAAAGCAAGAUGUG